rnacentral:rRNA from 1 species
AUUGAACGCUGGCGGCAUGCUUUACACAUGCAAGUCGAACGGUAACAGGCCGCAAGUUGCUGACGAGUGGCGGACGGGCGGGUAAUUCAGCGGAACGUCCCCAUCCGUGGGGGCUAACUACUCGAAAGAGUAGCAAAUACCCCAAACGAGCUUUCGAUGAAAGCGGGGGACCGGAAGGCCUCGCGCGAUUUGACGGGCCGAUGUCAGAUUAGGUAGUUGGUGGGGUAAAGGCUCACCAAGCCAACGAUCUGUAGCUGGUCUGAGAGGACGACCAGCCACACUGGGACUGAGACACGGCCCAGACUCCUACGGGAGGCAGCAGUGGGGAAUAUUGGACAAUGGGCGCAAGCCUGAUCCAGCAAUGCCGCGUGCAGGAAGAAGGCCUUCGGGUUGUAAAGUGCUUUUGUACGGAAAGAAACGGCUCUGGCUAAUACCCGGGGCUAAUGACGGUACCGUAAGAAUAAGCACCGGCUAACUACGUG